rnacentral:rRNA from 1 species
GAUGAACGCUGGCGGCGUGCCUAAUACAUGCAAGUCGAGCGAACAGACGAGGAGCUUGCUCCUCUGACGUUAGCGGCGGACGGGUGAGUAACACGUGGAUAACCUACCUAUAAGACUGGGAUAACUUCGGGAAACCGGAGCUAAUACCGGAUAAUAUAUUGAACCGCAUGGUUCAAUAGUGAAAGACGGUUUUGCUGUCACUUAUAGAUGGAUCCGCGCCGCAUUAGCUAGUUGGUAAGGUAACGGCUUACCAAGGCAACGAUGCGUAGCCGACCUGAGAGGGUGAUCGGCCACACUGGAACUGAGACACGGUCCAGACUCCUACGGGAGGCAGCAGUAGGGAAUCUUCCGCAAUGGGCGAAAGCUUGACGGAGCAACGCCGCGUGAGUGAUGAAGGUCUUCGGAUCGUAAAACUCUGUUAUUAGGGAAGAACAAAUGUGUAAGUAACUAUGCACGUCUGGACGGUACCUAAGCAGAAAGCCACGGCUAACUACGU